rnacentral:rRNA from 1 species
AUACGGAGGGUGCAAGCGUUAUCCGGAAUCAUAGGGUUUAAAGGGUCCGCAGGCGGAUUAAUAAGUCAGUGGUGAAAUCCUCUCGCUCAACGAGAGAACUGCCAUUGAAACUGUUAGUCUUGAAUUCGGUCGAAGUAGGCGGAAUGUGUCAUGUAGCGGUGAAAUGCAUAGAUAUGACACAGAACACCGAUAGCGAAGGCAGCUUACUAGACCUGGAUUGACGCUCAUGGACGAAAGCGUGGGGAGCGAACAGGAUUAGAAACCCUAGUAGUCC